rnacentral:rRNA from 1 species
UACGAAGGGGGCUAGCGUUGUUCGGAAUCACUGGGCGUAAAGCGCACGCAGGCGGAUCGUUAAGUCAGGGGUGAAAUCCCGAGGCUCAACCUCGGAACUGCCUUUGAUACUGGCGAUCUUUGAGUCCGGGAGAGGUGAGUGGAACUCCGAGUGUAGAGGUGAAAUUCGUAGACAUUCGGAAGAACACCAGUGGCGAAGGCGACUCACUGGCCCAUUACUGACGCUGAGGCGCGAAAGCGUGGGGAGCAAACAGG